UUCAGGAAAUGGAGUAAAAAGAGAGACGGGUGGGCAAGGAUUGAAGAGGCUAUGGGUGUGGGGGUACCAAGACAACAAAAGACGAUAUAGGAUGCUGACAGGUACUUGGGAUAAGACGCCCUGGGAGGGUAUCUACUAGUGGUCCCUAGGAGAGGCGAAGAGUCUGCUAGUACUGUAGGACGGCUCCGCGCUGGGGUAUGGAGGCUAGGAAGUGAGAAGAAACUCAGAGGUGAGCAGUCCGCGGGUAAGGGUCCCUGGAAUUCGUUAAGGGGAAGAAAUGGGCUUGACUUGGCUCUAAAGCAGUGCCACGGGGUCCUGUCAGUCCAUUUCAAACAGGGGGAGGGGGAAGGGCGAGGAGAAUCUUGGGCGAUGAGGAAUAGAGUCUCAGGGCUGGAAUGGGAGGUUGGGGAAAAAUUUCAGGAUUAGGGUCCGAACAAUUCCAAACUCGGAAGGCGGCUCUGGAUUGUGCCGGACUCUCCCAGGAAAAGGGCAAGGGACUGUAUACACAGGACUGUCAGAAGAGCAGAGCGCUUCAGCACCAGAGUCCGGACAGCUCCCCGCCUUCAAUUUCAUCCGCGGCGAAGCCAGAUUCUUCUGCAAAGAACAUUCCAGAGACAUGCUUUUAUGGAGAGCCAAAACAGAGCCCGAUUGUUCGAACAACUAAGCCUGCCAAGCAGGAACCGUCUUAUCUAACUAGGGUGCCCACUGCAGUUGCAGGAGAGAGCUAGUUGACCUUCCGUCAACAAGAACAAGGGGGACUGCAAUGCCCACCAGGAAGAAACUGAGUCCUGAAAAUGUAUAGUGACUUGCCUAACAAAGUUCCAGAGCCCAGGAAUAGAAGCCAGGCCUCCAGGAUCUUAAUUAGGAAUAGAUCUGAUGACUGAAUUAAGAUCUCAUUUAGAUAAAUCACAAUUUCAAAAUGGAACCUUCUACAUCUCUUUUCUCCAUUAACUGUCUGUGUGACCCUGAAAGGAAGAAUGGAGACACAGAAAGGGGAAUAUCAAUGCCACAGAAUCAGAAUCAGAAGGUACCUCAGAGACCAUUGGGUCCAACUCAUAAAUGACCAGGAAUUCCCUCUACAAUCUGCCCAUCCAAUAGUUAUCCAGGCUCUACUUAAAGAUUUCCACUGAGGAGGAACCCUCUUCCCAUUUUCUGCAACAGAUUGAAUUCCUUUUAUAUUUUUAAUCUUCAGAAUCUUUCUACUGUAGCUACUAUUACCCGCCUACAAACACAACCACAUCCCUAUCCUUAAAAAAUCAACCUUACUAGUAUCUGCCACAUAGGUCCUUUUCACACACAAAUUCCUAGAAAUUAUCUCCACUAAUUGUCUCUACUUUUUCUGCCAUCCACUUCAACUCUGUAAUCUGACUUCCAGUCUCAUCACUCAACUGAAGCUAUUUUCUCCAAAGUGACCUCUUACUUACCAAACAUGUUAGCCUUUUCUCAAUCUUCAUUCUUCUUGACUUCUCCAUAAUAACCUUUGGCCAUUCUCACCUCUCCUGGUUAUUUUCUCCUCUCCAGGUUUUUAUAUUGUUUUCUCUUGCUUCUCUUACCUCUUCAACAUCUUUUCUUCCUUUAUUAGUUCAUGAUCCAGAUAGGGCCUCCUAACUGUGUACACCCCCAAACCUUGCCCCUUCUCUUUUUUUUAAACUCUUUUGCCCAUUAGAACUCUUUGAGAGCAAUGACUGACUUCGAUUUUUGUAUCCCCAUUGCUUGCUUAGUAUAUUGCUUGGCACAUAGUAUGCACUUAAUAAAUAUUUAUUAACUAA